CUCUUUUCAUGCUAAUAUUACAUUGAUGUAUGUUAAUUAGAAUACACAUGAAGAAUCUAAAUAUAGCUAACUCUUAUAGUGUUGUCGUAUAUCUAUUUUGUUAUAAUGUCUUAGUUGUGUGAACUAAGACUGCAUGGACGAAUAAUCAGCAUAUUGGGAAGCAGAAAGGUUGUAGUAAUAGAAUUGUAAAUAAAAACUUAACCUUACUGAAACUUUCGACCUCGAGUGUGCAAGUAUACUACAGUAUUUUAUUACAAAUCUUUAGUAAUAAAAAUCAUUAUACAAAAUAUUCAUAUAAAUAAAAAUGAAAACUAGAACUCUAAAUAAUUUGCUUGAUAUGGCUCAUAAAGCUGCUGUAUGGACUAGUAUUGUGGCAACUACUGGUGCGUUAGGUUAUAUAGGACUGGGUCUUUACGAGUUUGCAACAGCAGUUAGACCUCAAUUGAAAGAAAAAGAAAAAUUAGAACAAGAGGAGUUGUUGAAAGAGGGAAGAGAGACAUUAGCUGAUGCAGCUCCUGAGUUGAAAUUAUAAAUACAGACAAUGUUCUAGAUACUCUAGAUUUAAUGCCCUGCGCAGGCGACCGCAUGUGAACUUCUAUACAAGUACAGAAAAUAACUGUAGUCAAUGUAAAUUAAACAAAUCCAAAGUUGGAUGUUAUGAAUUUAUUAAGUACUACUAACAUGAAUAGUGAGCAUGUGUUAGCUUAACUUUUCUGUAAAUUAUGAUUUAAUCACAUAAUGUAAAAAAUUAAAUUAGUUGUUUUUAAAAUUA